CCUACGGGAGGCAGCAGUGGGGAAUACUGCGCAAUGGGCGAAAGCCUGACGCAGCGCCGCCGUGUGAGGGAUGAAGGUCUUCGGCUCGUAUACCUCUGUCAGCAGGGAAUAACGGUCACUGUGCUAAUCAGCAGUGAAUUGACGGUACCUGCCUAGGAAGCACCGGCUUACUCCGUGCCUGCAGCCGCGGUAAUACGGAGGGUGUGAGCGUUAUUCGGAAUUACUUGGCGUAAGGCGCUCGUAGGCAGUAUGUCAAGUCAAGGGUGAAAUACCCGCGCGCAACGUGAGAACUGCCUUUGAAACUGGCAAACUGGAGUGUGUGAGAGGAUAGUGGAAUUCCAGGUGUAGGAGUGA
rnacentral:rRNA from 1 species